UGCCAAGGAUGUUCCCUAAAUUCUGACACCUCAUAUGAAACUGUAAACACAGCAUUGUGAUUUUGUUCUUUGGGCUGAGGCUU
ensembl:snoRNA